rnacentral:rRNA from 1 species
GAUGAACGCUGGCGGCGUGCCUAAUACAUGCAAGUCGAGCGAACAGACGAGGAGCUUGCUCCUCUGACGUUAGCGGCGGACGGGUGAGUAACACGUGGAUAACCUACCUAUAAGACUGGGAUAACUUCGGGAAACCGGAGCUAAUACCGGAUAAUAUAUUGAACCGCAUGGUUCAAUAGUGAAAGACGGUUUUGCUGUCACUUAUAGAUGGAUCCGCGCCGCAUUAGCUAGUUGGUAAGGUAACGGCUUACCAAGGCAACGAUGCGUAGCCGACCUGAGAGGGUGAUCGGCCACACUGGAACUGAGACACGGUCCAGACUCCUACGGGAGGCAGCAAUAGGGAAUCUUCCGCAAUGGGCGAAAGCCUGACGGAGCAACGCCGCGUGAGUGAUGAAGGUCUUCGGAUCGUAAAACUCUGUUAUUAGGGAAGAACAAAUGUGUAAGUAACUAUGCACGUCUUGACGGUACCUAAUCAGAAAGCCACGACUAACUACGUG